rnacentral:lncRNA from 1 species
GUUCUCGGGACUGGUUUAUUUUCCUGCCUUUCUGUAUUAAAGGCAGCUUGCAUCUCUUGGACCCUCAUCGAUUCAGACAGCCACCUUACAGCCCUCCUGAGAGAACCCUGCUGCAGAGAACCCUGGAGCACAGUGACGGACCAGAAAGCCAGCCGUGCAACGUGCGCUGCCUUCUCGCAGAUGGAUGCAAACUGAGGGCUGUCCCGGCAUGAGGGAAAUGUGUAACGACAGAAGACUGUGGCCUUGUAUCCCAGGACCAACCAAUGCAGGAGGAUUGGUCAGUUUUCCCGCUCUUCCUGGUACCAAUCACAGUGGCUUAGGGACAACCAUCUUAAUGACAACCUUUUCAUUUAAUUGCCAUCGAAGUCCUGCCUCCAGGCCCAGUCACCCUCAGGAACCAAUG